UACGUAGGGGGCAAGCGUUGUCCGGAUUUAUUGGGCGUAAAGAGCGUGUAGGCGGCCAGGUAGGUCGGUUGUGAAAACUGGAGGCUCAACCUUCAGAGGUCGACCGAAACCAUCUGGCUAGAGUCCGGGAGAGGUGAGUGGAAUUCCUGGUGUAGCGGUGAAAUGCGCAGAUAUCAGGAAGAACACCCGUGGCGAAAGCGGCUCUCUGGAACGGUACUGACGCUGAGACGCGAAAGCGUGGGGAGCGAACAGG
rnacentral:rRNA from 1 species